GGUCCCUUAGUUCAACGGAUAGAAUGGAGGUUUCCUAAACCUUAGAUACAGGUUCGAUUCCUGUAGGGACUA
rnacentral:tRNA from 1 species